CAGCAUAACUUAGCUUGCUAAGUUGAUGGCGACCGGCGCACGGGUGAGUAACACGUAUCCACCUGCCGAUGACUCGGGGAUAGCCUUUCGAAAGAAAGAUUAAUACCCGAUGGCUCCGCAUGGUUAAAGAAUUUCGGUCAUCGAUGGGGAUGCGUUCCAUUAGGUUGUUGGCGGGGUAACGGCCCACCAAGCCUUCGAUGGAUAGGGGUUCUGAGAGGAAGGUCCCCCACAUUGGAACUGAGACACGGUCCAAACUCAUACGGGAGGCAGCAGUGAGGAAUAUUGGUCAAUGGACGAGAGUCUGAACCAGCCAAGUAGCGUGAAGGAUGACUGCCUAUGGGUUGUAAACUUCUUUUAUACGGGAAUAAGUGAGGCACGUGUGCCUUUUUGUAUGUACCGUAUGAAUAAGGAUCGGCUAACUCCGUGCCAGCAGCCGCGGUAAUACGGAGGAUCCGAGCGUUAUCCGGAUUUAUUGGGUUUAAAGGGAGCGUAGGCGGACGCUUAAGUCAGUUGUGAAAGUUUGCGGCUCAACCGUAAAAUUGCAGUUGAUACUGGGUGUCUUGAGUACAGUAGAGGCAGGCGGAAUUCGUGGUGUAGCGGUGAAAUGCUUAGAUAUCACGAAGAACUCCGAUUGCGAAGGCAGCCUGCUGGACUGUAACUGACGCUGAUGCUCGAAAGUGUGGGUAU
rnacentral:rRNA from 1 species